AAUAAAAUGCCUGAUUAAAGGGUUAUCUUGAUAGGAUAAAUCAUGUAUAAGUUACUUUUAUUA
rnacentral:tRNA from 1 species